rnacentral:rRNA from 1 species
GCAAUACCUGCCCAGUGCGAAAUAUUACUGUAAACGGCCGCCCUAGCGUGAGGGUGCUAAGGUAGCGAAAUUCCUUGCCUUUUGAUUGUAGGCCUGCAUGAAUGGUUUAACGAGGGUUUAACUGUCUCUAAAUUUUUUAUUGAAAUUGUACUGAAGGUGAAGAUACCUUCAUUAAAAAGUUAGACAAAAAGACCCCGUGCAACUUUGAAAAUUGACUUUAUUCAGGAGUAAAAGAUUUUUAGGUGGGGCGCCUAGAAAGUAAGCCUAACCUUUCUGAGUAACUAACUCUUUCCGGAUUUGACCCGAUUAUAUUCGAUCAUAGGAGAAGUUACGCCGGGGAUAACAGGCUAAUCCUUUAGUAGAGUUCGUAUUGGCUAAAGGGAUUGGCACCUCGAUGUUGAAUCAGGGAUGAUAGCUUCAAGGCGUAGAGGCUU